GUGGUUUUGUGUCUUAGGAGACUUAUAAAUUCAGUAAGGCCUAAAUUAACUUGUCAUACUGAAUUCCAGGCACAGUGUAAAAUUAUUUCAUGUCCAGGAAAGUUAAAAUAUUCUGUUUAAAUAUUCUUCACAAAUCUCUCUGAUGUCUCUUGAAAUUCCAUAGGAGGAAAAGCUCAGUUCCAAGACCCUCAGGGAGGCUGAACACCUGCGUCUGGAAGUUAGUCUGCUGUUAUGAAAAGGUUAAUGUGGAAUCAAGCCUGCUCAAGCAGAAAAAGGAUAUGAAGCUGGAACUCCCACAUCCCAACAGUACGUCCUCCUUGGACUUCCCAUGCACAUGUUCCUUUCUCUACCCUGUCAACCUAAUCUACCAGCUCCUCUGCAGAAUACUCCUUCUAGCUUUGCCUGCAGAUAUCGGGAGGACUCAAAAUCUAGCCAGACUCAUCAGUCCUGUAGCUCCUGGACCUGCUGUCCAGUAGCUGAAUUUGACUAUUUCUUUCCCAGCACCAAACUGGCGGACCGUCAUCUAACUUGAUGAGCUU
rnacentral:lncRNA from 1 species